rnacentral:tRNA from 1 species
GGGAAAGAAGCAUAGAGAAGAUGUAAUUGGCUUGAAACCAAUGGAAGGUGGUUCAAUUCCUCCCUUUCUCG